GUUAGGAUGGCAGAGCCCGGCGUAUUGCAAAAGGCCUAAGCCCUUUAUACAGAGGUUCAAGUCCUCUUUCUAACU
rnacentral:tRNA from 1 species